ensembl:lncRNA
GUGGUGCCCCAAACGCACUACUUUCUACUUAUUGGUACAGCGGAGCCUGGAAAACUCCGGUUGAUGCCAGCAGUGCUUCUGUGGAUGUCAGAUGGUGUCCCCAAACCCGCACGCUGGGAGUGCUCCCACCUCCUGCUGGAUGGUGGAGAGGAGCGAGAGGACAGAGGUGGUGCUGGGCGGUACUGGGGGCUGCUGGGCCUGGUCUGUUUUCCCCUGGCAGUGGUUUUCCAGGUGUCUGAAGAUGCCCCUGUGCUGACACUCUGGGGGGGCCACUCCCACCUCCUGAAGGAUGGUGGAGGGGAGUAGGAGGAUGGUGCCCGGGGGGGCUGUGGGCUGCUGGGCCGGUCACGCUUUCCCCAGGCAGCAGUGGUCGGUCUCUUGGACAGUUCCCGCGAGCCAACACCCUGGGGGGGCUGCUCCCACCUCCUGCUGGAUGGUGGAGGGGAGCGAGAGGACAGAGGUGGUGCUGGGCGGUACUGGGGGCUGCUGGGCCUGGUCUGUUUUCCCCUGGCAGUGGUUUUCCAGGUGUCUGAAGAUGCCCCUGUGCUGACACUCUGGGGGGGCCACUCCCACCUCCUGAAGGAUGGUGGAGGGGAGUAGGAGGAUGGUGCCCGGGGGGGCUGUGGGCUGCUGGGCCGGUCACGCUUUCCCCAGGCAGCAGUGGUCGGUCUCUUGGACAGUUCCUGUGAGCCAACACCCUGGGGGGGCUGCUCCCACCUCCUGCUGGAUGGUGGAGGGGUGGGGGAGGGCAUUUGGGGAGCCUGGGGGCGGCCAGGUCUGUCAUGCUGGUGGGGCCGCUGCUGUCCCUUGAAGGAUGGUGGAGGGGAUGGAGAGGGCAGUGGAGGGGGUUGGGGGCGCCACUCCCGUUCCCUGAAGGAUCGUGGAGGGGAAUGGGAGGGUGGUGACGGUGCCUGGGGAGCUGGGGGGCUGCUGGAGCGGUCGCGCUUCCCCCAGGCAGUGGUUGUCCGUCUGUUGGACAUUUUCCCCAAGUCUGCACUCUGCGGGGAUUGCUUCCCUCCCCUGAUGGAUGGUGGAGGGGAGGGGGAAGGCAGAGGUGGUGCUGGGAGGGGCUGAGGGCUGCUGGGCCUCUCAGGCUUCCCUGAGGCAGCGGUUGUCUGGGUGCUGGACGAUGCCCCCGAGCCGACACCCUGAGGGGACCGCUCCCGUCCCCUGAAGGAUGGUGGAGGAGGAGGAGGCAGAGGUCGGGGGGGCGGCGUUGGUGGCCGGGGGCUGCUGGGCCUGUUGCUCAUCUGCCGGGGAGCCGUUGUUUCAGUGCCGGCCGAUGACCGCAAGCCUCCACCCCGGGCAGGUUCCUUCCGUCCCCUGAAGGAUGGUGGAGGGGGACGGGGGGGUGGUGUUGAUGCCCGGGGGGGCCGGGGGCUGCUGGGCCUGUCGCUCAUCUGCUGGGGAGCCGUUGUUUCAGUGCUGGCCAAUGACUGCGAGCCUCUACCCCGGGCAGGUUCCUUCCGUCCCCUGAAGGAUGGUGGAGGGGGACGGGGGGUGGUGUUGAUGCCCGGGGGGGCCGGGGGCUGCUGGGCCUGUCGCUCAUCUGCUGGGGAGCCGUUGUUUCAGUGCUGGCCAAUGACUGCGAGCCUCUACCCCGGGCAGGUUCCUUCCGUCCCCUGAAGGAUGGUGGAGGGGGACGGGGGGGCUGUGCUGAUGCCCGGUGGGUCUGGGGGCUGCUGGGCCUGUUGCGCAUCCCCCGGGAUGUGGAGCCCAGGCCGGUGGGCCGCGGGGGCCGAGGUGGGGGCAGCUGAGCCUGGCUGCUGUCCAGCCUGGCAGGGGCUGCUCUGGUGGUGUCCUGCAGCAGGUGGGCAGGUCGUCCCCACACAGGUGGUUGCCACCAUGUCUGUCUUUUGGGCCCCUCGAGGUGGGCAGGCUGUUCAUCUGACUCUGAACUGGAGCUGCUGCUAUCAUCCCGGGCUUCAUCAGCUGCAGCGAGGCGC